CAGGGCGUGGGGAAGGUGGUCAUCCCGCCUGCCUUGGAAGCAGGAGAUCGCUGGUUCGACGCCAGUCGCCCUGACCA
rnacentral:tRNA from 1 species